AUGGGCGAAAGCCUGACGGAGUGACGCCGCGUGGGGGACGAAGGCCUUCGGGUCGUAAACCCCUGUCAGAGGGAAAGAAGGGUGCUGGCGUGAAUAGCGCCGGCAUCUGACGGUACCUUCAGAGGAAGCCCCGGCCAACUCUGUGCCAGCAGCCGCGGUAAGACAGAGGGGGCAAGCGUUGCUCGGAAUCACUGGGCGUAAAGGGCGCGUAGGCGGGAUGGCAAGUCGGUCGUGAAAUCCUUCGGCUCAACCGAAGAACGUCGGCCGAUACUGCCGUUCUUGAGGGAUGCAGAGGAGAUUGGAAUUCCCGGUGUAGCGGUGAAAUGUGUAGAGAUCGGGAGGAACACCGGUGGCGAAGGCGGGUCUCUGGGCAUUCCCUGACGCUGAGGCGCGAAAGCGUGGGGAGCAAACGGGAUUAGAUACCCCGGUAGUCCACGCUGUAAACGAUGACGACUAGGUGUGGGGGGGGUUAGUCCUUUCCGUGCCGCAGCUAACGCAUUAAGUCGUCCGCCUGGGGAGUACGGCCGCAAGGUUGAAACUCAAAGGAAUUGACGGGGGCCCGCACAAGCGGUGGAGCAUGUGGUUCAAUUCGAUGCAGAGCGAAGAACCUUACCUGGGCUUGACAUGCUGGAAGUAGAAACCCGAAAGGGGGACGACCUGUUAAGUCAGGAGCCAGCACAGGUGGUGCAUGGCUGUCGUCAACUCGUGCCGUGAGGUGUUGGGUUAAGUCCCGCAACGAGCGCAACCCUCACCCUAUGUUGCCAUCAGUUCGGCUGGGCACUCUUAGGGAACUGCCGGCGAAGAGCUGGAGGAAGGGGGGGAUGACGUCAAGUCCGUAUGCCCCUUAUGUCCAGGGCUACACACAUGCUACAAUGGUCGGUACAGAGGGUUGCCAACCCGCGAGGGGGAGCCAAUCCCAUAAAGCCGAUCUCAGUUCGGAUUGCAGGCUGCAACUCGCCUGCAUGAAGUAGGAAUCGCUAGUAAGCGCAGAUCAGCAGGCUGCGCUGAAUACGUUCCCGGGCCUUGUACACACCGCCCGUCACACC
rnacentral:rRNA from 1 species